rnacentral:rRNA from 1 species
GACGAACGCUGGCGGCGUGCUUAACACAUGCAGGUCGAACGAUGAAGCCGGAGCUUGCUCCGGUGGAUUAGUGGCGAACGGGUGAGUAACACGUGAGCAAUCUGCCCUUGACUCUGGGAUAACUGCGGGAAACUGUAGCUAAUACCGGAUACGACACCUUGGGGCAUCCUAGGGUGUGGAAAGAAUUUCGGUCAAGGAUGAGCUCGCGGCCUAUCAGCUAGUUGGUGAGGUAAUGGCUCACCAAGGCGACGACGGGUAGCCGGCCUGAGAGGGUGACCGGCCACACUGGAACUGAGACACGGUCCAGACUCCUACGGGAGGCAGCAGUGGGGAAUAUUGCACAAUGGGCGAAAGCCUGAUGCAGCAACGCCGCGUGAGGGAUGAAGGCCUUCGGGUUGUAAACCUCUUUUAGCAGGGAAGAAGCGAAAGUGACGGUACCUGCAGAAAAAGCACCGGCUAACUACGUGCCAGCCGCCGCGGUAA